UUGGACCUGAUAUCAGGCAAGAUUCCCCUCUGAACUUA
rnacentral:rRNA from 1 species